CUCCGGGCUGGGUGCGGAGGGUGGAGGGGAGCCACGGCCCUCGGGGUGGCGGGGCUCAGAGGGGUGCGGAUCCUGGCCAGCCGGGCGGGUAGGUGAGGUUUCUACCCUGACCCAGGCCUAGCCCUGACCCUGAUUCUAACCCUAAUCCUAGUCCUGGGGAGAGCAGACAGACGGGAAACGGAGGCUGAGGCUACGCGGCGAUCGCCCUGGGGUAGGGCACCCUCCAGGGUUGGAUGUCAAAGUUUCCUAAAAUACAGAAAAUGAAAAAGGCAAAGUGAAUAUACCUUUGGAGUAGAAAGAGCUUCUCAAAAAGAUGGGCACACAGUAUCUCCUACUGAAGGGGAACAGUUGUCACAGAAGAUGAACCUAUGUGAUGUGGCAUCUUCAUCCAGCAUCCACAGGCGACAUCGGGCCCACACUUCGUGUCUGACCCUGUGGACUGAUGACAUGUGUCCACUGUUGUGGUGUUGUGCCGAGGAGUUUCACUGCCUGGAAAGUCCCCUGUGCUCCACCUGGUCAUCCUCCCUCCUCGCUCUGUAACCACCCAUUAUUUUACCUUUUCC